UCCCCCGCUACUCCUCCCUGAGCGGGUACCCGCCUCGCGGCGGGAAUAUUCCCCCCCGUUGCUUGCAGCGGGGUUUUUUUU
rnacentral:ncRNA from 1 species